AUAUAUUGACAGAGGUAUUUACCUAUAAAACAGGUGGAUUGAGAAAAACUCUUAGAGCUGAUCAGGUUAAUACCUGCGGAGCAAGUUCAAUUAAUUUUGAAU
rnacentral:ncRNA from 1 species